rnacentral:rRNA from 1 species
AUUGAACGCUGGCGGCAGGCCUAACACAUGCAAGUCGAGCGGAUGAAGGGAGCUUGCUCCUGGAUUCAGCGGCGGACGGGUGAGUAAUGCCUAGGAAUCUGCCUUGUAGUGGGGGAUAACGUCCGGAAACGGGCGCUAAUACCGCAUCCGUCCUGAGGGAGAAAGUGGGGGAUCUUCGGACCUCACGCUAUCAGAUGAGCCUAGGUCGGAUUAGCUAGUUGGUGGGGUAAAGGCCUACCAAGGCGACGAUCCGUAACUGGUCUGAGAGGAUGAUCAGUCACACUGGAACUGAGACACGGUCCAGACUCCUACGGGAGGCAGCAGUGGGGAAUCUUGGACAAUGGGCGAAAGCCUGAUCCAGCCAUGCCGCGUGUGUGAAGAAGGUCUUCGGAUUGUAAAGCACUUUAAGUUGGGAGGAAGGGCAGUAAGUUAAUCCCUUGCUGUUUUGACGUUACCAAAAGAAUAAGCACCGGCUAACUUCGUG